UUUUAUCAGAGAGUUUGAUCCUGGCUCAGGAUGAACGCUGGCGGCGUGCUUAACACAUGCAAGUCGAACGGGAAUUACUUUAUUGAAACUUCGGUCGAUUUAAUUUAAUUCUAGUGGCGGACGGGUGAGUAACGCGUGGGUAACCUGCCUUAUACAGGGGGAUAACAGUCAGAAAUGACUGCUAAUACCGCAUAAGCGCACAGGACCGCAUGGUCUG
rnacentral:rRNA from 1 species